rnacentral:lncRNA from 1 species
UGUUAGUCUAAUUUUAAUUCUUACUUAUGUCUUCACAGAUUUGUCCUAACAAUGAAACAAUAACUUUACAAAUCAAUCCUCACUCUAUGGAUCCAGAAUUCAUCUGCCGUUGGAAAAGGCCUCUGCCACAGAGCAUCAGUCACCUACAAUGAAUUUGGCUGUUGACCAAUGGCAAGAGAUUAACCAGAAAGUCUCACAUUCCCAGGCCUGGGGUUUGAAGCAUGAGAAUUCUGGAAAGCUCUCCAGCGACUUGGAUGGACCCCCAAUGGCACACCUCAUGGCCAAAAGGAACCAUGUGGGGGAGUGAGGUUUUUCGGUUUUCUACUCUGUGUCAUCAGUGUCUAGCAUCACCUAUGGAGUGGUAGCAUGGCUGCAAAUGCUGUCCUCUUUCACUUGGCAAGAGAGAAAUAGAAGAGUGGGGGUUGGGGGUAACAAAGCUCUCACCUGUGAGAAUUGAAGAUUCGUUAAAGGCUGCAUUAGAACUGGACUCGAGUCUAAGAGGAACCGUGUGUAUGCAUAUGCAUCAUUUUGCACAAGUUCAGAAGGGGUGAUCAUUUCUAGGAAGUAGCGUGAGCAAAAUAAAUACAGAUUGAGGUAACUAUUCCGUGAGGGG